rnacentral:lncRNA from 1 species
CCUGCCUUAAAGCCCGGGGAGGGGGCCUGCGGGCCAGCGCCCUUCCCACCCCCACCCAGACGGCCGGGGUCCAGCUCCAACAUGCGGGUAACUCCCAGACGCCUCCCUCCCCGCCCCCUUGGUUAUUCACUUUAUCCCCAGGCACCUUGACGACGGGUCCCCAGGGAAGGGCAGAACCCAGAAACCAGGAGACGACGCUGGAGUCCACCAGCCCCGGCCCUCAGAGCACCCGGCUGCCGCGGCCUGGGCUGACUCCUGAGCCCUGGAAUUCAGCACCCCACCCCACCCCUGCCUCCUGGGGUGCAGAACUCAGCCUGCAGGAGCCUGAGGUGAACUGCUCGCCUGCCACAGCUCUCCCCAAGGAGAGAAGGACGACUUUGAGGAAGUUGGAAUCUGCUUGCUCCAUUUUUUUGCCAAAAAAAAGAAAAAGAAAAAAAAUGCAGGGGGAGGGUGAGAAAUGAAGAUGAGCACCCACCCACCCUGCUCAUCUUGUCUCCUCUGGGUGACCUCCAGGACUGGCCAGCAGCUGGAUCCCAGGACCCACCCCCCCCUGGGGUUCCAGAUCCAGAAGCCAACCCGUCCCCUGGCCCCACCUGUGGGCUGCCUCCCAGGGAGGGCCCCCCCAUUUCCCCUGGAGAACGCAAGAGACAUUUCCAAUGAACCCCCCUAGGUAAAGGCUACCUCACUCAACCUUCAAUCUGUGAUUGGAAAAAUCACGCCUGAUACCAAAGAUUCCCCCAAGGACUUGUGCUGGAUGCUAGGGUCCCCCGCAGCCAGGGGCUGCCCUGCCCCCAGAGAGCGAGAGAAUGAGGGAGAGAGGACAGCGAGGUCGAUGAGUGCCUUUUUCUUGAACCAAAGAUGUGUGUGGAGUGUCCUCUGUCCUUAUCGACACGCUGUGCUCCCAGCUUCUUAGCAACCCAUCUGAAGGAUGCUUCUAGAACCUUUGGGUGUUGGGGCAGAAUCCCAAAAGUGAAAACUCCCCAUCCCCACUCACAAGUGACCCUGCCCCAGACGCAUGCAUGAGGACAUACACAGACAUGCACAAACUCACACUGACACACACACACUGCCUCCUAUGCCUCACGGUGGUCCCUGGGCACUGAAUGCCACUCUGGGGGAGCACAGGCUCCCCACUAAUACCUGGGCCCCCUUUACCCCUUUCAUCCCCCAAUUUCUGAUGGGCAGGUCUAGAGCUCCCUCCCCAGGCCUGGCCGCCUGGGGCUCCUCAGGAGUCCCACAGGCCCAGGGCUGGCGAGACCCUUUUCAUUUCUCUUAAGAUCAGCAGCAAACUUUUAAGUUAUGCCAAGUGAGCGUGUCCCUCCCAGGCAGUGACCUGCCCGAGUGCCAGCCCUUCUGAGAACACAGGGACUGGUGGCUCCUGCCUUCCAACCCCAGGGCCAGGGCCAGGGGCUUCCUGUGUCCCUGUGGAAGGGGAGGCCUUGCCCUGAGGCGGUUCUGACUUGGGUGGUCAGGUCAGGUGAAGCCUCCUCAGAGCACCCGGGCUCCUGGAUCUCUCUCCUUUUUCUCAGCAGUGGGGAGGACCCAGAGCCUGGUGCCUGCUACGCAAGCCCUGGCCACUGCGCUGCACCCCCAGUCCCCAUGGACGGACACACACACACACACCACGCCCACACCGGCUCUUGUGCCCUGCCUGAGCUCGGCCAGGCCUGGACCCCAAAUGUCUCCUAUACCCACCUGAUCAUCCCAUACCAAAGACCAUUUUCCCCACAGGGAACCCAAUCUCCAGCACAAUUCCUUCAAGCCUUUGACAAUUUUCUCUGAAAUACCUCAAAAUAUUUAAUGUAUAGUUUAUGUGAUUAAAAAAAAAAAUCCUUAGCUAGUUUUUGGAAAACGUGACUUGAAGCUUUAUACCGUUAAAUUAUAAUUUUGCAGACGAUGGCAUGUCGUUUCUUUGGCCCGUUCUGUGGGAGACGUAUUGAAUGUCAGGGCGGUGCAGCCGGUGGUCAGAGGGCGGGAGGGCAAGGCUGUGAGGCAGGGACCGGCGGUUGACAGACGCUCACGGAGAUGAGUCUUUGGGAAAGAGAGAGGGUGUGCAAGGUGUACCUUUCUGAUCUCUGGCUUGUUCUGUUUCUCGUUUUUUGGAGUCAUGUCUUAUGAGAGUAUUUAUUAUUCUGUGUGUUCUGUGUUCAAAUGUGAUUUAAGAAAAAAGAAAAAAAGACAAAAUGGAGUUUGAUUUGAU